GACAGAGGAUGCAAGCGUUAUCCGGAAUGAUUGGGCGUAAAGCGUCCGCAGGUGGCAAUGUAAGUCUGCUGUUAAAGAGUGAGGCUCAACCUCAUAAGAGCAGUGGAAACUACAUAGCUAGAGUGCGUUCGGGGCAAAGGGAAUUCCUGGUGUAGCGGUGAAAUGCGUAGAGAUCAGGAAGAACACCGGUGGCGAAAGCGCUUUGCUAGGCCGCAACUGACACUGAGGGACGAAAGCUAGGGGAGCGAAUGGG
rnacentral:rRNA from 1 species